ACUCAAAUGAAUUGACGGGAGCCCGCACAAGCGGUGGAGCAUGUGGUUUAAUUCGAUGCAACGCGAAGAACCUUACCAGGGCUUGACAUGCCGCGAACCCCCCUGAGAGGGGGGGGUGCCUUCGGGAGCGCGGACACAGGUGGUGCAUGGCUGUCGUCAGCUCGUGUCGUAAGAUGUUGGGUUCAGUCCCGCAACGAGCGCAACCCCCGUCUCUAGUUGCCCACAAUUCGGCACCCUAGAGAGACCGCCGGUGUUAAGCCGGAGGAAGGUGGGGAUGAGGUCAAGUCAACAUGCCCCUUUUGCCCUGGGCGACACACGUGCUACAAUGGCCGGGACAAAGAGAUGCGACCCCGCAAGGGCCAGCCUGACCUCGUAAACCCGGCCUCAGUUCGGAUUGUAGGCUGCAACCCGCCUACAUGAAGGAGGAAUCGCUAGUAAUCACCGGUCAGCCAUACGGUGGUGAAUCCGUUCCCGGGCUUUGCACACACCGCCCGU
rnacentral:rRNA from 1 species